GAGUUUGAUCGUGGCUCAGGAUUAACGCUAGCGGCAGGCCUAAUACAUGCAAGUUGAACGGGAUUUCGGGUAGCAAUAUCUGAAUGAGAGUAGCGCACGGGUGCGUAACACGUAUGCAACCUACCUAUGACUGGGGGAUAGCCUUCCGAAAGGAGGAUUAAUACCGCAUAAUGAUUUGGAGUGGCAUCACUUUAAGUCCAAACCUCCGGGGGUCAUAGAUGGGCAUGCGUUCGAUUAGCUAGUUGGUGAGGUAACGGCUCACCAAGGCUACGAUCGAUAGGGGGUCUGAGAGGAUGAUCCCCCACACUGGUACUGAGACACGGACCAGACUCCUACGGGAGGCAGCAGUAAGGAAUAUUGGACAAUGGGCGCAAGCCUGAUCCAGCCAUGCCGCGUGAAGGAUGAAGGCCCCUAUGGGUUGUAAACUGCUUUUGUACGGGAAGAAAACAAACUACGAGUAGUUAAUUGACGGUACCGUAAGAAUAAGGAUCGGCUAACUCCGUGCCAGCAGCCGCGGUAAG
rnacentral:rRNA from 1 species